rnacentral:tmRNA from 1 species
GGGGCCGAUCGGUUUCGACGGUAGUUGUCCAGCAAGGGAAGCGGGCCGAGAAGCCAGAGUCAUCUCGUAAACGUUCUCUGGAAACCAAUAAGUGCCGAACCUAAGCGCACUGACUUCGCUCUCGCUGCCUGAUCAGCGCUAGCAGUCUGGAACCCCGGGCGUGCUUCUGACCCGGAUCGUUCCAUCAUCUAAGAAGCCACUGCUGCCGACCCUCGUCAUCGGGGAAGGAUGAACACCUCAGAGUGACUGAGUCUGUCGACGACGUGUCCGUGCGAUCGUCGGGACUGAGAAAACGUCAAUACGGACUGCGCCCGGAGAAGCCCUGGCUCCGCACUAUCGGACGCGGGUUCGAUUCCCGCCGGCUCCACCA